UGACGCAAGCCAGGGUGCCCCUGGAGCUGGUCCAGAUGUCUGCCCCUUCCCUAUCCUGUCCCUCUGAGAUCCUUCUAGUCGCAGUAGGAACCCCUUCCUAUGCCUGGAUCAUCUGCCUGCUAAAGGCAGCUAACCCCUGUCCAUCUCUGAUCCCAGGACCAUGGAAAGUUCUGGCUAUCCCCAGUGCUUGAGGUAUGGUGCGCUCUGUCCCUUUUGGGUUCGUGUUUGGAAACCUGGUCCCAGCAUGGUGUGAUUCAAGAGGCUAAGGAGACUCUCAGAGGUGUGGCUUCCUGAGAGGUCUUAGGUCUGGAUUGAUAUGUUCCCCUCAGAAGGAAUUAAGACAUUUUUGGGAAAGGAAAAGUACUGUGCCUACAGGCAUGGCUUCCUGGAAGUUCCCAGCAACUGAUUUUUCUAGAUGUUUCCCAGUUCUUCCAGAAUCUUGAUCAUUGUUUAAAACUGACUUUUCCCAAAGCGAAAGACUUGGGAGAAUCGCAGAGCAAUUAGACAGCACUGAACUCUGCCUCCUUCCCAGGCCCACACAAGGAUUUGCAGCUGAACCGGCCCAGGGAAUGACCUCCCUGGCCUCUGCUUCUGGGGACUGCUGAAUGCAGGCAGGAAGGUUAGAUACAGCCUUCCUUCUGUGUUCCUACAUGACUGUCAUGUGGAUUCCAGACACAAAGGGAGACGGUAACCCCAGUGUUCCUGUACUACCCUGGGAGGGGUGGGAGGGGCCCAUGUGGAGAGACGCUGCCCUCUCUGGAAACAGCCACUUCUCUGUGUUCUCAUCGCCGGGACAAAAUGCCCCAGUAAAACCUGGGCAGAAGGAUUUGUUUAGGCUCAUGGGUUUGCAGAUUUCCACGGUCAUCGGGCUCUGUGGCUGUGAGCCUCAGAGCAUCAUGGCAGAAGAAAGCUAUUCACAUCAUGACAUCUAGGACGAGGAAGGGCCUCCAGGGAGGAGGCCACAUCCUUGGUGACUCACUUCCUCCAGGUCUCAUUCCUCCCUUCCCACCACCACCAAUGAGGCCACCAUGUUGUGAAUCCUUCAAGGGAUCAAUUGAUUGAUCUGAUCAGAGCCAUCGAGAGCCAAUCCCCUCACCAAAACCCACCAGGCAGGGACCAUGCCUUUAACUCAUGAACCUUUGAGACACUUCUCACCCAAACCACAACAGCCUCUUAUGUGUAGAGAUGGUGUCCAUCAGCUCAGAAGGGAUGCCAGAGGCCAAAGAGGCUCUUCACCGAGACCCAGGUCAUUUCAACGGCUCAAAGCAAACCACAGCUGGAAGAUAAAGUGCCCCUGACAUUAGGAGAUUGCCUAUAAUAUACAAGAUUAAUGUAUUCCCUAA